rnacentral:rRNA from 1 species
CAGUCGCCGCGGUAAUACGGAGGGAGCUAGCGUUGUUCGGAAUUACUGGGCGUAAAGCGCACGUAGGCGGCUUUGUAAGUUAGAGGUGAAAGCCUGGAGCUCAACUCCAGAAUUGCCCUUAAGACUGCAUCGCUUGAAUCCGGGAGAGGUGAGUGGAAUUCCGAGUGUAGAGGUGAAAUUCGUAGAUAUUCGGAAGAACACCAGUGGCGAAGGCGGCUCACUGGACCGGCAUUGACGCUGAGGUGCGAAAGCGUGGGGAGCAAACAGGAUUAGAUACCCCGGUAGUCCCUGUCUCUUAUAC